GGGCAGCAAAAGUGGGGUGAAAAAGAAGGGUUAAUUCAGGGCAGAAACAUUCGGGUGAAAAAAGGGUUAAUUCAGGGCAGAAACAUUCGAGUGAAAAAGAAGGGUUAAUUCAGGGCAGCAAAAUUGGGGUGAAAAAGAAGGGUUAAUUCAGGGCAGCAAAAGUGGGGUGAAAAAGAAGGGUUAAUUCAGGGCAGCAAAAGUGGGGUGAAAAAGAAUGGUUAAUUCAGGAGAGCAAAAGUGGGGUGAAAAAGAAGGGUUAAUUCAGG